rnacentral:rRNA from 1 species
GACGAACGCUGGCGGCGUGGAUUAGGCAUGCAAGUCGAACGGUAUCAUCCUUUCGGGGGUGAGAGAGUGGCGAACUGGUGAGUAACACGUAGGUUAUCUACCCUCAAGACGGGGACAACCCAGGGAAACUUGGGCUAAUACCGGAUGUGAGCAACUUUUAGUUGUUUGAAAGGUGGCGUAAGCUGUCGCUUGGGGAUGAGCCUGCGUCCUAUUAGUUAGUUGGUGAGGUAACGGCUCACCUAGGCAAUGAUAGGUAGGCGGCCUUAACGGGUGGUCGCCCACACUGGGAUUGAGAUACGGCCCAGACUCCUACGGGAGGCAGCAGUCGAGAAUAGUCUACAAUGGUCGGAAGACUGAUAGUGCGACGCCGCGUGAACGAUGAAUCCCUUCGGGGUGUAAAGUUCUUUUAUAUGUGAGCAGUGCUUCUUAUAUUAACAGUAUGGGGAGAGAGAUAUUAGCAUAUGAAUAAGCAACGGCUAAACUCCGUGCCCAGCAGCCGACGGUAAAAUCCG